AUGAGGGCCAGCGCAGUUACCAUCCUCUGGUACUUUGGCAUCCCUGUGCCUCUCAUGAUCACCACUCCUGUUGGAUUCUUCGGCUCAGAGGAGAGACUAUGGAUACCGUGCUCUGUGUAUUCAUGCGCCCCAGACAGAAAAAGCAAAUGCACCACUUUCUCCAUGGGGCAGCUGAGCAGGAAGCACAGAGCUGAGAGCUGCUGCUUGCAGACCCUGGCCUACCUACACAAGUCCAACCCAACAGAGCUUCUGGGUGGAGCAGGAAGCCUUCGAGGUGUAAGGGGCCAGGGGCUAAUUAUGAGAGCCAGAAGACAUCAGGAUACUCUGAAGUCUGUACUGGCCACCUGUCUCAAGAACUACAAGUUCAGACCGUUGCUGACUGCUUUUUGAUGUAGCCUGGGGAGCAUGGCACAAGGCUAUCAGGCGACUGUGGUACAUCCAGAAUUGAGUCAAAUGCCCACCCCACCACUUGCUCUUACCUUUAGAUUGGCCAGAGCCUGCUCAGCCUCCCUUGCCUUCCUAAGAAACAGCAGAACCUGCCAUGGUUGAACAUGCCUCCUGAAGGGCAUCACCCUGGGAAACUUCAAGCCUUGCAGGGCUCAGGUCCAUAAUUAUUGAGACUGAAAUAAAGUUUUUGUGAAAUGUCAGCAAGCCUGAGAAUGGUGUGUUGUGAUUUCUCUCUCUGGACAUCUUCAGACAAUCGACCCUCCUCUUUACCAGUCUCUCCUGUCAUUAUGGCAAAAAGCCCUCCCCGCAGAACUCUGGCUCUGGCUCCUGUCUCCCAUUAUUCUUCUCAGACAUCCUUGUCACCAGCCCCUCCCUGGUCCAUCCCUUGUGUGUUGAUGUUCUUCUGAUUGCUUUUUUUUUUCCCUCUAGCCUUACAAAUGUUAAACAAGCACACCCUCCUGCAUAGUCAUCAAAACGACCUCUGUUUCUGUCUUCUCAUCCUGUAGCAUUAUAA
rnacentral:lncRNA from 1 species